rnacentral:rRNA from 1 species
CAUGCAAGUCGAACGGCAGCGCGGGGCAACCUGGCGGCGAGUGGCGAACGGGUGAGUAAUAUAUCGGAACGUACCCUGGAGUGGGGGAUAACGUAGCGAAAGUUACGCUAAUACCGCAUACGAUCUAAGGAUGAAAGUGGGGGAUCGCAAGACCUCAUGCUCCUGGAGCGGCCGAUAUCUGAUUAGCUAGUUGGUGGGGUAAAGGCCUACCAAGGCAUCGAUCAGUAGCUGGUCUGAGAGGACGACCAGCCACACUGGAACUGAGACACGGUCCAGACUCCUACGGGAGGCAGCAGUGGGGAAUUUUGGACAAUGGGCGCAAGCCUGAUCCAGCAAUGCCGCGUGAGUGAAGAAGGCCUUCGGGUUGUAAAGCUCUUUUGUCAGGGAAGAAACGGUGAGGGCUAAUAUCCUUUGCUAAUGACGGUACCUGAAGAAUAAGCACCGGCUAACUACGUGCCAGCAGCCGCGGUAAUACGUAGGGUGCAAGCGUUAAUCGGAAUUACUGGGCGUAAAGCGUGCGCAGGCGGUUUUGUAAGUCUGUCGUGAAAUCCCCGGGCUCAACCUGGGAAUCGCGAUGGAGACUGCAAGGCUAGAAUCUGGCAGAGGGGGGUAGAAUUCCACGUGUAGCAGUGAAAUGCGUAGAGAUGUGGAGGAACACCGAUGGCGAAGGCAGCCCCCUGGGUCAAGAUUGACGCUCAUGCACGAAAGCGUGGGGAGCAAACAGGAUUAGAUACCCUGGUAGUCCACGCCCUAAACGAUGUCUACUAGUUGUCGGGUUUUAAUUAACUUGGUAACGCAGCUAACGCGUGAAGUAGACCGCCUGGGGAGUACGGUCGCAAGAUUAAAACUCAAGGAAUUGACGGGGACCCGCACAAGCGGUGGAUGAUGUGGAUUAAUUCGAUGCAACGCGAAAA